CCUACGGGUGGCAGCAGUGAGGAAUAUUGGUCAAUGGGCGAGAGCCUGAACCAGCCAAGUCGCGUGAGGGAGUACUGCCCUAUGGGUUGUAAACCUCUUUUGUCGGGGAGCAAAAUCCGGACGUGUCCGUCUGUGAGAUUACCCGAAGAAACAGCAUCGGCUAACUCCGUGCCAGCAGCCGCGGUCAUACGGAGGAUGCGGGCGUUAGCCGGAGUUAUUGGGUUUAAAGGGUGCGCAGGCGGAUUUUUAAGUCAGCGGUCAAAUCGUGGGGCUCAACCCCAUCCAGCCGUUGAAACUGGUGAGCUAGAGUGUGCGAGAGGUAUGCGGAAUGCGUGGUGUAGCGGUGAAAUGCAUAGAUAUCACGCAGAACCCCGAUUGCGAAGGCAGCAUACCGGUGAACAACUGACGCUCAGGCACGAAAGCGUGGGUAUCGAACAGGAUUAGAUACCCUUGUAGUC
rnacentral:rRNA from 1 species